rnacentral:rRNA from 1 species
UCGAGGGGCAGCGGGGGCGUAGCAAUAUGCCUGCCGGCGACCGGCGCACGGGUGAGUAACACGUAUGUAACCUGCCCUAUGCAGGGGGAUAACCCGGAGAAAUCCGGCCUAAUACCGCGUAACACCUUUGGGGAGCAUUCCCUUGGGGUUAAAGGAGAGAUCCGGCAUAGGAUGGACAUGCGUCGCAUUAGGUAGACGGCGGGGUAACGGCCCACCGUGCCGACGAUGCGUAGGGGUUCUGAGAGGAAGGCCCCCCACACUGGUACUGAGACACGGACCAGACUCCUACGGGAGGCAGCAGUGAGGAAUAUUGGUCAAUGGCCGAGAGGCUGAACCAGCCAAGUCGCGUGAGGGAAGAAUGUCCUAAGGAUUGUAAACCUCUUUUGUCGGGGAGCAAAAAGGCUCUGCGGAGUCGUAUUGAGAGUACCCGAAGAAAAAGCAUCGGCUAACUCCGUGCCAGCAGCCGCGGUAAUACGGAGGAUGCGAGCGUUAUCCGGAUUUAUUGGGUUUAAAGGGUGCGCAGGCGGCGUGUCAAGCAAGCGGUAAAAUAGCGGGGCUCAACCCCGUCGAGCCGUUUGAACUGGCGCGCUUGAGUUCAGGCGAGGUAGGCGGAAUUCGUGGUGUAGCGGUGAAAUGCAUAGAUAUCACGGGGAACUCCGAUUGCGAAGGCAGCUUACCAGUCUGCGACUGACGCUCAGGCACGAAAGUGUGGGUAGCCCCCAUAAGUAGUUACCCUGGUAGUCCACACAGUAAACGAGGAGCGUUAAGAGUCCGGGUGGAAUGAGGUUUGGGUGCCCGAGCGAAAGCGUUAAGCGCUCCAUCGGGGGGAGUACGCGGGCAACGGUGAAACUCAAAGGAAUUGACGGGGGCCCGCACAAGCGGAGGAACAUGUGGUUUAAUUCGAUGAUACGCGAGGAACCUUACCCGGGCUCAAACGACUCAGGAAUAUAUUGGAAACGAUGUAGCCAGCAAUGGUCUGAGUCGAGGUGCUGCAUGGUUGUCGUCAGCUCGUGCCGUGAGGUGUCGGCUUAAGUGCCAUAACGAGCGCAACCCCUACCGCCAGUUGCCAACGGGUAAAGCCGGGAACUCUGGCGGGACUGCCGGCGCAAGCUGCGAGGAAGGCGGGGAUGACGUCAAAUCAGCACGGCCCUUACGUCCGGGGCGACACACGUGUUACAAUGGCAGGUACAGCGGGAAGCCACCUGGUGACAGGGAGCGGAACCCGAAAGCCUGUCUCAGUUCGGAUUGGAGUCUGCAACUCGACUCCAUGAAGCUGGAUUCGCUAGUAAUCG